AUCUAAAGCCUGAUGUCUAAGCAGAAAAUUAUUGAUAGAAAUGAAUCAAUUGUCACUGAAGCGAUUGGAAGGAACGAAUAAAUUUGACAUAAAUCCUCUGAGAAUUUCUGCUUCAGGUCCUGCAAACCUGAACUUUGAGCUGCUGCUGUAGGAGGUUUGCAGGAAGUUCAACCAACGACGGCAGAUGAGAGGUUUAAGGUUUAGGUGGACUGAUAGCUGCUUGAUAAGGAAUGCCAAAGUCAGACGGAUGUUUCCUAAGAUUGUAUGAAGGACUUAGCAGAGGCAGGUGGAGGUGAAACACCAUGAGAAACAAGGAACCCUUCCAUCGGGACAGUUUAUGAGGAAUGUCUUCAGUCCAUUCGUCUCUAAAACUUCAGAAUUUCUGUUUGGCGUCACGGGGUCGCUGAAGCCGACCCAGCUAUUGAAGGGCGAACACCGUCAUUCAGCUCUUUAAAGAGACAUAACAGUUUACCUAAGAUGCUACGUGUGCCAGAGAAGCAGCUUCCCAGACGCAGAAGACAAUGGAGCGGCAGGACGACGCACUGAAUGAGCCACAAGAACAAUCCACCAGUUAUUAUGGGACUAUUAACUUUACUGCACCAGAAGAGGAUGCAGAUUAUAUUUUUAUAUUCAAGACAAAUAAACAAGGGUUAGGAGGAGGCGGAAAAGCCUGUAUACUGGUGAGGAUGAUGUUCUGACUAAAUAUAACCCAUUGGGUACAAAGGAGCACUCGUAAAGCCUUUUUAGAUGUAAAACAGGGAAAAAUGU